GGAGGUAUACCCAAGUCUNUCGGUCUUGAAAACCGACAGGCGGCGAGAGUCGCGCGGGGGUUCGAAUCCCUCUACCUCCUCCA
rnacentral:tRNA from 1 species